GACGAGCGCUGGCGGCGUGCUUAACACAUGCAAGUCGAACGGAAAGGCCCUGCUUUUGUGGGGUGCUCGAGUGGCGAACGGGUGAGUAACACGUGAGUAACCUGCCCUUGACUUUGGGAUAACUUCAGGAAACUGGGGCUAAUACCGGAUAGGAGCUCCUGCUGCAUGGUGGGGGUUGGAAAGUUUCGGCGGUUGGGGAUGGACCCGCGGCUUAUCAGCUUGUUGGUGGGGUAGUGGCUUACCAAGGCUUUGACGGGUAGCCGGACUGAGAGGGUGACCGGCCACAUUGGGACUGAGAUACGGCCCAGACUCCUACGGGAGGCAGCAGUGGGGAAUAUUGCACAAUGGGCGGAAGCCUGAUGCAGCAACGCCGCGUGCGGGAUGACGGCCUUCGGGUUGUAAACCGCUUUCGCCUGUGACGAAGCUUGAGUGACGGUAAUGGGUAAAGAAGCACCGGCUAACUACGUG
rnacentral:rRNA from 1 species